rnacentral:lncRNA from 1 species
CCAAUUACCUAUCUCCUAAUGGAUGCCAUGACCCCAGUGACAGUUUUGUCACAUUUUUUUCAGGCUGAAAAUGUCGAUGUUGCUGUUGUAAUGGUAAAGACUGACCUCUGUAUGAAGGACAUAGAGGCAGUUAAAUGAUGCAACACUCCCUAACUGACAGAACUGAAGGAUGACCUACAGCAUUCCAGAUUUUUGGAACAUGAAAUCACAUCUAGUGACUUUAACCCGAAGAGCCUUCCUGAAAAUUUGCUGUACUCUGAUCAUCAAAUUUUUAUUCAUUCAAGGUUCCUGAAGAUAGGACCUUGAGGAAUGAUGACACCCCCCAGGACCUCGAGGAAUCUUGACAGCAUUUAGUGUGAUGUCUAUGCGCCCUUUUUCCUUCCUGAAUCACACUGAACUGGAGGAAUUUGGAAAUAAGGAAAUCAGGUCUCUGAGUUUGAUGGUAACCCACAGACUGUGAAAUGGAAUGAAAAUAGCGAGGCAAAGCUGGAGAUGAGCAACAGCUCAAAAGCUCUCAUUGACAAGACUCGAGCAGAAUUGUCGUUGGCCAAAAAAUUUGUUUAAGACUGAGCAUUAUCCCCAAGAUUCCACUUGGAAAUUGUGGAGUCUACUUGCCAAUUACCACAAGAAGGAGUUCCCAAAUCUCUUUGUGCUAGGGAGGCUAGCUAUCACUACUAGCAUCGAAACUGCAGACUGUGAAAGGAAAUUUUCUGUGCAGUAUCCCACCUGACUGCCUUAAGGAAACAGAAAGAAGUGAUGUUGAUCAAAACUGAAGGAUAUGAUAGGGCUUCAUUUGACUUUGAGGAAGCCCUGCAAGCCUGGGAAAAUGUGAAGGAGAGGAGAAUCUAUGAACUGAAUCAAAGAACUGAAAGUGAUAAAAAGCUGAACCUAUUGAAACAAUCAUUUAUAUCCUUAUAUCAGCUUUAAAAAACAUAUUUUCAGUAUACAAAACUGUGUCUUAGGAUGCUAAUCACAUGUGAUGCUUAGGAUGCUGCUUCUGACCUACAUUUCUGCUUCAGUGACCAAGUUAAGAUUUGUUAAGGUCAGUGACAAAAGUUGCAUUGCUUAUGUAUCAUAAAUGAUACUUAUCACAUGUGAUGCUAGUAUGUACUGUAGUAAUCCAGCCAUAUCACCAUUGGCGGUUUCUUGUUUCUUGUUGCUUUUCUUUUCUUGAAUUUCUGUCUGUUUUAUUUUGGGUUGCUCACUCAUUUAGUUAAGUUGUAAUAUUAAAGUCUUGUGUUUAUCUUAACAUAGUCUUUAAGCUCCAUCAGGUUCACCAAUAUUGUGCCUGCCGGGGAACACCCCAUAAGUUGUGCAUGUAAUUCUGGGGAAUUAUACUCCCAGUUAAUUAUAUGUCAAUGUUUUUUGCUUACAUAUGUUCUACAUAAUCGCAUACUUCAUAAAUGUCUUGUGUAUUUUUGUAGUGUAUUUAUUGCAUUGUAGAGUUGAAAAGUCAGAUAAUUAGAGUGAGCAGCCCCUAUGAUUGCCAAA